rnacentral:misc_RNA from 1 species
GAUGAAGAACGUAGCGAAAUGCGAUACAUAAUGUGAAUUGCAGAAUUCAGUGAAUCAUCGAGUCUUUGAACGCACAUUGCGCCCCCUGGUAUUCCGGGGGGCAUGCCUGUCCGAGCGUCAUUGCUGCCCUCAAGCACGGCUUGUGUGUUGGGCCUCCGCCCCCCGGCUCCCGGGGGGCGGGCCCGAAAGGCAGCGGCGGCACCGCGUCCGGUCCUCGAGCGUAUGGGGCUUCGUCACCCGCUCCGUAGGCCCGGCCGGCGCCCGCCGGCGACCCCCCUCAAUCUUUCCAGGUUGACCUCGGAUCAGGUAGGGAUACCCGCUGAACUUAAGCAUAUCAAUAAGCGGAGGA